rnacentral:misc_RNA from 1 species
GCUUCAUCCAAUUCUACUCUAUCACCCGGAUUCUUCAGGAAUUUUGCCAGCGUUCCAUCAGUAAUAGACUCAGCCAGUGGAGGGACGACAACAUCAAGCAGGUCCCCAUUAUCUGAAGAGAAGUUCCGACCAUUCAAUUGCAUCAUAGGUCUUUGCUGCAUACUUGCAAAUGCUACCCUUAGAGAUUGAGGACUAGCAAGGCCACCAGGUGAAAGUAGGUGAG